rnacentral:rRNA from 1 species
AUGGCGAACUUACAUCGCAAGACCAUUACCUCGGCAUCGUCUUGCCCUCGAUGCGACUUGUCCUCUGAGGAUGUGAUGCACCUCGCUCUACUCUGCCCAUGCGCGGGCCAGGUCUGGUCCAUACUGGGACUCCAGGCCCCUAACCGCAUCGACCUCAUCUGGGAUACUCCUACUCCGGUAGGCCUCGACAUCAACAUUUGGCCUACUGUCGCCCUUGCCGUCCUCUGGAAGCUCUGGGAUCCCAAAAACGCUCGUGUGUUCCGUAACGAGAUACACUCCCCCCUAGAUACUAUUCGGAACAUUAUCUCUAAUUUUUUUGAAAGAAAAGGUAGAUCUUGUUCUACCUUAUGCAUUCAAACAGACCGUAGCCCGAUAGACUGA